rnacentral:rRNA from 1 species
GUGGGGAAUUUUGGACAAUGGGCGAAAGCCUGAUCCAGCCAUGCCGCGUGCAGGAUGAAGGCCUUCGGGUUGUAAACUGCUUUUGUACGGAACGAAAAGACUCUGGUUAAUACCUGGGGUCAAUGACGGUACCAUUCGAGGAAGGACCGGCUAACUUCGUGCCAGCAGCCGCGGUAAUACGAGGGGUCCUAGCGUUGUUCGGAAUCAUUGGGCGUAAAGGGUGUGUAGGUGGCCAUGUAAGUCAGGUGUGAAAGCCCCGGGCUCAACCCGGGAAGUGCACUUGAUACUGCGUGGCUUGAGUACCGAAGAGGGUAGUGGAAUUCCAGGUGUAGUGGUGAAAUACGUAGAUAUCUGGAGGAACACCGGUGGCGAAGGCGGCUACCUGGUCGAGUACUGACACUGAGACACGAAAGCAUGGGGAUCAAACAGGAUUAGAAACCCGAGUAGUCC